rnacentral:lncRNA from 1 species
CUCAGUUGUCUUAGAUCUGACUCCUUCAAAGAAGUGAUUAUAAUUGAUAACUCCAGUCUCACCACAUCAGAGUUUUCACCUAUCAGUUGUGUGCAAGGAGAGUGACAGUACUGGCACACACAUCUUGGCGCUGAUGGUUCGAGAUGGCCAUAGAAUCAUAGAAUGGCCCAGGUUGAAAACGACCGCAAUGACCAUCGAGUUUCAAUGCCCCUGCUAUGUGCAGGGUCGCCAACCACCAGAGCAGGCUGCCCAGAGCCACUUCCAGCCUGGCCUUGGAUGCCCCAUCCCUGGAUGCAUUCACAACCUACUUGGGCAACCUGUUCCAGUGCAUCACCACCCUCUGGGUGAAAAACUUCCUCCUAAUAUCUAACCUAAGCCAGCCCUGUCUCAGUUUAAGACUAUUCCUCCUUAUCCUACCACUUUCCACCCUCACAAACAGCCGUUCCCCUUCCUGUUUAUACGCUUCCUUCAAGUACUGGAAGGCCACAAUGAGGUCCCCCUGGAGCCUUCUCUUCUCCAAGCUAAACAAGCCCAGUUCCCUCAACCUUUCCUCACAGGAGAGGUGCUCCUGCCCUCUGAUCAUCUUAGUGGCCCUCCUCUGGACCCGCUCCAACAGCUCCACACCCUUCCUCUACUGGGGGCCUGUAGAGCAAAUAAGGAUACGGAUAUAAGAAACUAUCGCCUUUGAAAAGGAAUAAUCAGAGAUGAACAGGAAGCUUACCCGUGUCCUGGGCUCGCCAAAAGGGCUCCAAGAGGAGUGAUCUUCAG